rnacentral:rRNA from 1 species
GACAGAGGGUGCAAACGUUGUUCGGAAUUACUGGGCGUAAAGCGAGUGUAGGCGGUUUGGUAAGUCGGAUGUGAAAGCCCUGGGCUCAACCCAGGAAGUGCAUCCGAAACUAUUAGUCUAGAGUGGUGGAGAGGAAAGCAGAAUUCCUGGUGUAGAGGUGAAAUUCGUAGAUAUCAGGAGGAACACCGGUGGCGAAGGCGGCUUUCUGGACACUAACUGACGCUGAGACGCGAAAGCGUGGGGAGCAAACAGG